rnacentral:rRNA from 1 species
GAUGAACGCUGGCGGCGUGCCUAAUACAUGCAAGUCGAGCGAACAGAUGAGGAGCUUGCUCCUCUGACGUUAGCGGCGGACGGGUGAGUAACACGUGGAUAACCUACCUAUAAGACUGGGAUAACUUCGGGAAACCGGAGCUAAUACCGGAUAAUAUAUUGAACCGCAUGGUUCAAUAGUGAAAGACGGUUUUGCUGUCACUUAUAGAUGGAUCCGCGCCGCAUUAGCUAGUUGGUAAGGUAACGGCUUACCAAGGCAACGAUGCGUAGCCGACCGGAGAGGGUGAUCGGCCACACUGGAACGGAGACACGGUCCAGACUCCUACGGGAGGCAGCAGUAGGGAAUCGUCCGCAAUGGGCGAAAGCCUGACGGAGCAACGCCGCGUGAGUGAUGAAGGUCUUCGGAUCGUAAAACUCUGUUAUUAGGGAAGAACAAAUGUGUAAGUAACUAUGCACGUCUUGACGGUACCUAAUCAGAAAGCCACGGCUAACUACGUG